AUGAUUGACGCUCGUAAAUGGCAGGCGAAAAACGAGUCCAGCAAGUUAGAAAAAAUUCCAAGUGUAAUUUUCCGCCAUCGUACAAAACCCCCUCUGCCCAGGAGUUGCUCAUCUUUAGUUCUCAGAAAGAGAGGAGAAGUUGUUUGUGCAUAUUUUCUCAUCUGAGUAGUCUACAGGUCCUAGCAGACACAACGUCUCUGAUAUUCUCAGAGACCUAAAAGGACAUGGAUAUGAAGCCUCUGAUGAUUCUCCUCCUGCUAGCAGCAGCUGUCACCACCACUUCUGCAGCACUUCUCACCACUACCGCCCCUGCAGCAGCUGUCACCACCACCCCCUGCAGCAGCUGUCACCACCACCACUCAUGCAGCACCUCUCACUACUACCGCCCCUGCAGCAGCUGUCACCACCACUUCUGCAGCAACUCUCACCACUACC
ensembl:lncRNA